CCCUGUAUUUAUGAGAGCAGGUUCAUUACUUGUUUGGUGGGAAUCCCGGGAAGUCGUGUUCGCCCAAGAUGAGAUUAGAUGACUUUUGGUCACUGAAGCUUUGCCGUCCUUCCAAGGACUACCUCCUGAGACAUUGCAGAUACCUCAUCCGGCGACACAGAUUUGAGGAAAAAGCUCGAGCAGAUCCUUUAAGUGCUUUAAAAUAUUUACAGAAUGACUUGUACGUUACUGUGGAUCACACAGACCCUGAAGAAACUAAAGAGUUUCAGUUACUGGCUCAGGCACUCUUCAAGUCAAGCUCAGAUUUCAUACCAUUAGGUUUUUCAGACGUUGAUCAGACUUACGCCCAGAGGACUCUGCUAUUUGACACGCUGGUAAACUUCUUUCCUGACAGCAUGACGCCUCCAAAAGGCAACCUGGUUGACCUCAUCACACUGUAGCUGGACAGCAAUUGAUGGAUUUUGGCUGAAGAGAAACUGAAAUAUAAAUCUGAUCUCCUGUUUUGUACAGGCUAGAUUGGCUUAUGAUGUUUGGCUCGCAAAGAUUUUUUUUUUGUAAUGCGUCACCUUUCAUCUAGUUUUGAUUUGAGUGUCUAAUUUCAAUGCUGUUUUAAUGCAGACGAUAAAACUGGGUUGAAACAGAUGAGUUUUGUGAAUAUGGGUUUGCUUCUCAUUGUGUGUUCAGUCCCUUGCUUGUUGGUAAAUAUUUGGAUUUAAUAAUAAAUCCUGCCAUCAGAGUUUCAGUCGAGACAUGCAGUUGACGUUCUUAAUGUUUUGGAAUAAUGCUACAAAGAUACUUCAGUAUUUCAGUCAACGUUUGUCCAUUUACAGUCCAGUAGUCCACACCCUUGAAGUCACAUGGUGUUUUAUGUACUGUUCCCAUUCUCUCUGGUCUCCACAGCAAUAUUAAUAACUGCUUUAAAAGGUGCAGCGAUAUUUUUGAGAUUAAAUUAGUGCUGUGCAUGUAUUGUGACUGCAGCAUUACAGAUUGCCCUCUGGGGUGAGUUGACUCUUGAAUUCUCAGCAGGUUGAGUAGAUUUGCUGCCAUUGUUGGGAUGCAUUUUACUUUAGAAUUGAUUCAUAAUACUAUUAAUUUUAAUGCUUGCACUUCAUUCCCAGUCCUUCUGUAAACUGGACUGCCUUCACAUUCGUCACAUUUCUCUCUUAGUUUCCUUAAUAGCAUGGUUUAAGAAAAAACAACUUUCAAAAUAUUUGUUGCUGAGCUGUCUGCUUUAAAGGUACGAAGGAUCCAGAGAAAUCUUUUCCUCUUGGGACAAGGUUAUGUCAAAAAAACAAUUGCUGUCAAAACUUGUAGUUAUCAGCAAUUUGCCUUUCCCAGCUGGUCCACGGUGCAAGGUACAGAUAAUCAGAAUCCAAAGCCUACUGUUAAGUAUAUUCCCCUGAAAAGUGAGGUCCACCAAUUUUUAUUUUGGAAGCAAGACUACUCUCACUUUUUUGAGUUUGCUAAUUCACCUCUUGAAUGUGAUGUUGGUCACAGAAAAAUGAAUGGCAAAGAUCCAGUCAGUCUCUGGUUUGGAGUUUCUUACUGAGUCUGAGAAAGCACUUGUGAAAAGAUCUGUUUUAUGGCAGAAAUUCAGUGGUGUUUCCUACUACUAUUCAGGAUGUGUGACAUCCACAUUGCCCUUUUUUUAAAAGUUAAAUUGGAACAAAGUGGUAGAUAUUCUGUCAGACUGGUUCAGAGUCCCUCCUCGCUUUAUUUGCUAAGUGAUAGACAAUGUUAGAAUGUGUGUGAUCUGCGAACAGUUGUUGAUAAGCUGUGUUGGUAAGGUGGUUGCUUUGAAGCAGUAGAAGUUUGGUUUUGAACCCUUUAUGCAGUUAGCUUCCAUAUAAUAGAAAAAGAGCCCAGUUUUCAGUCAUUUCUUGCAUCAUGUGUUAUUUUUCAUAAUUCGUAAUGAUGUAAAGCAUGUUGUGAAGUUUAGUCAUCAGUUGUAAUGUCAUUUCUUGAAACUGAUGUUUUUCCAGUGAAACAAAAAUUCAGCUCAGCUGCCAAAGAUAGAUAUGGUCAAUGGUGCCAGUUAAAGUACAUAUUUGAAACUUCGAAAUGGGGACCUUGUUAUAGUAUUUUAAUUUUUGAUAUGUUUCUCAGAAGAUGUAUUUUAAUUCUUUCACAUCUUUGGGAACCUGAAAUAAUUAUUGUAAUUGCUGAUAAGGAAAUUGUGGAAGAUUUUGGCUGAUGCAGGUUUGAGUUCCACUGCUUUGUACACGAAUUAUUUAUGUAUUUUUAAUCCAUUGUCUCAUUACAGUUUAAAUUCCUCCUGCAAUAAGCUUGUGUGGAGGAUGAUAGCAACCGAGCUGCUAAACAGACGCGCUUAGCAGUGACAAAAUGAAACACUUUCACUUGUCUGAAUUACGAUAAUUUACCUCACUGGAUUGUUCUCUUUGUGCUGGUUCUGUGCUGAACUGUUAGAGGCAAAGAUUUUUUUUCCCUUUUUUAUAGAAGAAAGUUUUAAAUUUGGUUUUCACAAAUGGCUCCUAAAAAGAGUAUCUUCUUUUUAAAAACAAAGUCGAAUGAAGACCUUUUUCACGUUGCUGCAUUCGUGCCUCUACCAAACAACUUGCACCGCUGAAAAUUCUGAUUUGCUUCUUGACGCACUAUUAGAGAGUCAGGAUUUUGUUAGCAUUGCUGCUGAUGGGCUCCUCGUUUAUUUAGAUUUGGCCCUGUGAUCUUCACUUUGUUUUGCUAAAUUCCCCAGUCUGAUAACUGUGAAGAUGCUUGGUGUGAUAUUGCCUUUUUGGAAAAAUGGCAGGAGUGUUAAAAGAAUAGAAUCAAAGAAACAUCUUCCAACAGUAUGUAUGUAAAUGUGUUUAUGAUACAGGCAACAUUUUUCACAUUUCUCAAAUGUUGCCAUAUACCAAUGUAUAAAAUGGACUGGUUGCUGUUUCACACAACAAGGUAUUUAGUGAAUUCUUUCUAAAACCAGAAACUUGAGCCCCGUCCCCAAACUAAAACUCAACCAGUGUGGCACAGAAUUGUUUUACAGGUUCUAGAAACCUGUGCUGAAAUCAAGAAGCAAUUUUUGAACAGAUCCAGUUCUGAAUCAUAAAUUUCAAAAAUAGAUCAACUUAACCAAAGCGUAUUGUUUCUGGUGGUUUUACGCAGUGACUUUUAAUUGGUAACCAACCUGCCCUGAUGGUUUUGAUGCAGUGCUAGUAAGAGUUCAGGGCAUUUUGGAAAUACAGACACCAGAAAAGCAUUUACUUUGUUUUAAUGAGAACAACGAAAUAAUGAUGCCAGCAAUUACUACACAAAAUUGAAAAGGGUCGCUGCAAAAGUGCACCUCCUGCACUUGAUUCCACGAUUUAAAAAUAUGCCUACGAUUGUGAAGUUAAGAACUGGACCCAACAAAAACUCCGUCCAAAUGUUUAAUAUGCACAUUCUCCUGUUUUAAUAUAUGGAGUGUUGUAAUUCAGUGUGUGUUUCAGCAAUCCCCUUUGUCUUUGUCAGAUAACGCUUGUUGCUAAUAAUCCACUGAGCCUAGUUGUUGUGCACUUCCACAGUUGGGGCUGUGGGCUUCAUUGUGUAGAAUAUGUCAGAGUAAGUAUUGGAAAGCUUUAAUGAUCAGAACGAAAUCACAGGUGUGAGCCAAAGAAAAGUUUAAAAAGUCCUAGGCAAUAUUUGUGGCUUCUGACUGGAAGACGAAAAAUCGAAUAAAAACCUUACAUUUAUAAUUGCCUUUUGCAGUGGCAACGCCACAAAUUGCUCAACUGUUCCUUCUGAACUUUUUCUUUAGAUAAAGCAGUGUUUAGAGUGCAAAACCUGGCCAUCAACAUCUGAAAAGCUAAAGAUUGGUUAUCUCUUGAAGAAUUACAACAAAAACUAGUAGCUUCUGCCUCAUGUAGGCUGAACUACUAUUUUUGUGUUACAGAUUUCCUUUGUAUCUUUUGGUCUGCUUUUGUUUUGAAUUACUGUUAACUAUCCUUGUAAAGCACAAAAAAACAGACCAUAAUAUGGUUCAAUUUGCCAAGUUUCUCAAAAUUAUUGGAAAGGACUAAUGAUUAAUUGGUAUGAAAGAACUACCAUAUUACUGUCCUGUAUUAUAGUUUUUUGACUAAUGGCCCAAAUAGUUGCAUGGUAAUAUCUUAAGUUUUAAGUUUACCCCUAUAGCUUGGCGAACAUUUCUUUAUCUUUUUAGAAAUACCUCGCCGAUUUAUGUCGACAUUUUAAUUAACUGGCACAAAUAAAAUUGAAACAGUUGUGAGCCUUGAAUGCAUAAAGCACCUGGCUGAUUCAUUCAUUUUUAUGAGCUAUUCUAUAAUUAGAAGAAAAAACAUGAAUGCACGGGUCAAAUUUUGCCACACUAAAUCAGGUUGGAUUGACUUGUACUCAAACUUUGUUACUGUCUCCAAAUACUUUACAGCUCACAUUUUGUUUUGUGGGAUGAGACUUAAUUCCCUGAUUUACAGCUUGACACCUUUCCAGAUGAGUUACUAUGACUGAUGACUUGCUCUUCUCGUACCUUAGAGAUUACUGAAUCGCCAACAAUUCAACAUUUAAUAUUCAGUUUUGCAUCAGACUUACGGUUGAUCCACAGCUGCAGCGGUUUACUGUGCUGUAUCUAGUUAGAAGUGUGUUGCAUUUCCUCUGCUAAUGUGCAUGUCUUAGCCAGUAUUUCUCCCUCUACCCACCUUCUACCCAACACGAUUUAGCACUGACAUCCCCUUGCAGCAGCCAUCACAAACAGAGAUGGGCUAAUAGUUUAUUCUGCUAUUGUUUGAGGCCUUGCUGUGUGGAAAUUGUCUGCUAUAUAACAACAACAGCUUCAAAAAGUAAUUCAUUAUUAGGCACAUUGAUGUGACCUGGUACUAUUGAAGUAUUUGGAGUUUCUUCAAUCCGCUGUCUGGCCGUUUAAGGGAGAGGCCUUUUACGCUUAAAUGCACUUUCAAGUUUUGAGUUUGUUUAAGGCCUCUUGAAACCCAAUCCUUCACAGUAUUGGUGCACAAAAAAAUUCAAGCAGCCAUAUUUUUUUAAAUGAAGUUGGUUAGUCUAGAUUUUGGAGUUUAUUGAGUAAUAUUGCCCAGAAUUUGUUAUUAAUUAGUACUAAAGUUCUCUUCUGAAAAUGGAGAUGUUCCGUGCAAUUUUUCACUGUCUUAUGGGCUUGUUUCAGUUUCCUGUUUAGCAGUGUAAAGAUUGUAUUGAACGCAUUGCAUACUUUGAAUGUUGAUCAUCGAAAAGUAGGUGGAACAAUUCUUAGGCCUGUUAUUAACCUGUGAGCAUCUUGAUCUCAUUAAAGAUCUUCAUGCCUGCAUUGCAUACUCAAAUAUGUAUUUUGUGAACGUGGUAGGAAAGAAAGUGUUGUUUAAACCAGGUUGGCUGAAAUACUAGUGUAUGGGCCUAUGAAGCUGAAAUAAUUUUGCUUUAGUUCAAACAGUCUAGAUUCAAAAGUGAAAGCUGAGCAUCUAGAACCAGCUGUCCUUGUAAAAUGAAGUAAUCAGAUCGCGUUUCACCUUUAAUCUCCUUGUUUUUUAGUCUUCAUCCCACAAAGUGAAGUGAAAUUUGUGGAGUACAAACCUAGUAUGAUUGAGGUAUAAUAAUCUGGUGAGGAUACAUUUUUGCUUGAUGUGUCAGAUCAGCGAUGAUCUAAUUAAUUGGUUAAGCAGGUUCGAGUUGUAUGCAUGUAAAAGUUGUGAUAGCUUAUUAUCCUAAUUUAAUAAGUAGCUAAAUGUCAGAAUUGGAACUGGUGGAAUUGUUCAAAAUGGUAGUUAGGUGGGUGUCUUUUUUAAUUGCCCUUAUCCAACAUAUUGGAACAAACCUAGUUUGAAGAUUUAAUUUUUAAGAAGGUGCAAAAGGAUGAAAAUGCCUAAAAACAAAAUGUAUGAACAAAAGAAAAGAUAACUGAAGUUAUGAAUGAAAAGCAUACUGUGGUGAAAGCUUGAAAGAGAAGCUUCAAGUUCCCAACAGUAGCUCUUAGUUUGAGAGAUCCUUAAAAAAAAUUGUUAAAAGCCAAGUUUAAACGAGGAGUGUAAUUUGAACAGAUUAGAUUAAUUUUAUAUCUCCUACUUAUCACAAAGGCUAUUGUGACUUUGUUUAAAAUAACAACACAGUAUAGAAGUGAAAUUAAGUGUGUUGCUGAAUUGGGUGAGUGCUCCAGGGGUUGAGCAAGGGAAUGGAUAUCUCGUUUUAAAAGCUCAAACUGAUCUAUUUCUUCCUUUAAGGUAAGUUAGUGUCUACAUUGUGUUUUGGACACAAUUUGAGAAUGAAUAUAUUGUACCUUUUUGUGUACAUUUCAAAAAUACAUUCAAUAUUAGAAAGUAGGAGACAUUGAACAAAGGUCAAAAAGCAUUGAGUAUGCUUGAGGGAAAUAAAUUGAUUUUCAUGUGCACUGCAGUUAGGUACAGAAUUUGGACUAGUAUCAGUAGCAAAAUUCCAUUAAAUAGACCGUGUCAGGUGUUUCCUUUUUUUUUGCAACAUUAUUGAAAUGUUUAUUUGGCACCUUCAUUGAAGUUUAGUGUAUUUCAAACCAUAAAGGUACUUUGUUUUGCGUUAUUUGUUGAUGUUGCAGUUUAAAAAAGUGCCAGUGGGUGGCACAAUGGGCUAGCAAUGGAAUUAUUGCUGCAAUUUUUCGAACUCUGGUGGAUUCUCAAGAGUGCUGGUCAAAUCGGUUCCCUCUUGAAUAAUUACAAAGCUCGUGAGGCAACAGACCCAAGCAUACAGAUUAAAUAAAAUAAACUGGGAAUGCUAAAGAUUGAAACCAGAAAGAAGCAGAAAAUGCAUUGUGAAUGGUUUGAAUACAACUCCAACGUGAAUUUCAUGCACAUUGUAAAGGACCUUUAUCUGUAUAUUAACCUUUUUUCUAGAAAAAUUAUAUAUUCCCAUCAUAAUUUUUCUAGUUGGAAUAUGUACCGCAAAAGAACUAUAAUUGGAUGAAAAGAAAGCAUGCACCUUUGGGAAAGGUUUAAAUUUCUUGCCUCUUGACCUUUUUAAAAAUGCCAAUCUCUGUUCCUGCCACUUACUAGUAAAUGUAGGGAGAAAUGUAGUUAAGUUCCUUUGACUUUAACUUGAUUAACAUUUAUGGGUGUUGUAGAGCUUCUCAGUGCACAGGGUGGAUCCAUUAUCUUGGGGUUUUAAUAAUUAUUUUUCACCUUUUAUAGCCCACUUGAGCAAAUUAGUUGAAUUUAAAUAGGAUUACUUAACGCCUGAUGUCGUAGUUUGUUUGGCCGAAGGCAUUUUCUGCCUUUGCUCACGCUUGGUAAAUAACCUAUGUUUUCCUGCAUUUAUCAGUGCUGUUUUCUGGAGUGUUGAUAAAGGUUUCUUUUAAAUUCCACCUUUUUGUUGAUUCUGAUAAAGUAGGGCUAACACUCCGUUAUCAACAUUCAGCAAGCUUGACUAUAAGUAUUUUUAAAUUGAUAUUUAUACAAAUGCUUGCUGAACGCAAUUUAUCUGGAAUGGCAAGUGUGGCAAAACUCCCUUCAUUUUUUUUUUAAAAAAUGGACAAAUAGUUUGUGGUUUGGACAGAGUGCCACCGAAUGUCCGUCAAUUUAAAUUUUUCUGUCUCCUUUCCUCUUGCAAAUGUCUGGUCAACAAAUUCUAUCAUUCAGACUGAUGAAUUACCGACAUGUAUACAUGUGUGACCUUGAUGGGCAGUGAAUAAAUAUUGCUGUGGUAGAUGCUGAGGUUCUAGAAAUCUAAAACUCAUUUUUAAACCACUUGUGUAAAUUUGGUAAUUGCAAUAAUGAAUUUUCUACUAGGUGUACCCAAGUUUUGGGUACAGCAAGAUGUCUUGGUGAUUGGGUAUCAUAAAACAAUAUCACCAUUUGUUUUAAUCUGAAGUAUUAAUGUUUCUCAGCAUUUCAAUCAGAGGGGUUUUUAAUCAGUGUAGAAUUGCCCUGCUCUACCUGACUGUUUCUAAUGAAGGACACAAAUGUAUUGGUUUAGUGAGGUAUGUGGUUACGUUCUCUGUCUGGGAAUGCCCAAAGUACAUUAAAUAUAGUGUAGGCCUACCCUUUCCUGUUUGGACCUGUUGCUUUGGAUAAGUUGCAAUAAAUUUAUUGUACACGGUCCAAUGAUACAAUCAAAGAAAGUCACACAGAUUGCUUGGCUUGUGAUACCUAAAGCAUUGACUGAGUAAGCAUUUGUUAAUCCAUCCCUCUCAAAUGGUGAGUAAUUAUGAUUUUUACUAAAUAUGGUUAAUCAACCAGAAGACCACUGUUGAGAAAUGAUUGGCCAAAGGAUUUGGAAGUGUGCACAGUUUUAAGAAAGCUUUCAGUUGUUUAUAUGGGUAUUGAACCCAGUUUGGUGCUUCAGUUAUUCAUGUUUGUGUGUCUAUGAUCCUGAUUAGUGCACAGGGGCCUGUAUUCAUAAACAUUUAUGCAAUACAUCAUGUACAGAUUCCCGUUAGACUUUGGGUUAUUUGUGAAUAUGGGUCCAGGGAAUGUUUUUCCCUUUAGUCAUUGAUUGUUCAGCAACCUCUGUAACAGAAUGUUAUGUUACAAGCAAACCCAAGGUUCCGCUGAGCAGAUUUAACCUGUGAGCUGAUCGAAAUGGUGUGUUUAUUCCAUUUCGUUUUGAAAGUAUGAAGAUCCCAACACUUGCUGAAAAGUAUACAAUUUAUGCACUACCUUGUUGUGAAUAACUGAAUGUGUAGACCCAGUGAACAAAUGCAACUGUAGAAUUAUGUUGUAUGUAAUGUACAUAUGGAAAAAAGACUGUAUUUUGUUCAGUUUCUUUUCUUAAUAAAAAAAAGAAAAAGU